rnacentral:lncRNA from 1 species
GGAAGAUAUCAGUCACCUUCAAGAACUAGCAACAAAGAGAGAGCAUCUGGGAGAGCAUCCAGCCAGAGGGAGAAGGAGGAAGAAUUUCAAGUCAAGUCCA